GAUGAACGCUGGCGGCGUGCCUAAUACAUGCAAGUAGAACGCUGAAGGAAGGAGCUUGCUCUUUCCGGAUGAGUUGCGAACGGGUGAGUAACGCGUAGGUAACCUGCCUGGUAGCGGGGGAUAACUAUUGGAAACGAUAGCUAAUACCGCAUAACAGUAGAUGUUGCAUGAUAUCUACUUAAAAGGUGCAAUUGCACCACUACCAGAUGGACCUGCGUUGUAUUAGCUAGUUGGUGAGGUAACGGCGCACCAAGGCGACGAUACAUAGCCGACCUGAGAGGGUGAGCGGCCACCCUGGGACUGAGACACGGCCCAGACGCCUACGGGAGGCAGCAGGAGGGAAUCUUCGGCAAUGGACGGAAGUCUGACCGAGCAACGCCGAGGGAGUGAAGAAGGUUUUCGGAUCGGAAAGCUCGGUUGUAAGAGAAGAACGAGUGUGAGAGUGGAAAGUUCACACUGUGACGGUAGCUUACCAGAAAGGGACGGCUAACUACGUG
rnacentral:rRNA from 1 species